AAGAACGACUCUCGGCAACGGAUAUCUCGGCUCUCGCAUCGAUGAAGAACGCAGCGAAAUGCGAUACUUGGUGUGAAUUGCAGAAUCCCGCGAACCAUCGAGUUUUUGAACGCAAGUUGCGCCCAAAGCCGUCAGGCCGAGGGCACGUCUGCCUGGGUGUCACGC
rnacentral:rRNA from 1 species